rnacentral:misc_RNA from 1 species
UUGCCAGCCCAGAGAUGGUCC